rnacentral:rRNA from 1 species
UACGAAGGGUGCAAACGUUGCUCGGAAUUAUUGGGCGUAAAGCGCACGUAGGCGGCUAUCUAAGUCGGAUGUGAAAUCCCUCGGCUUAACCAAGGAAGUGCACCCGAAACUGGAUCGCUUGAGUACAGAAGAGGAUCGCGGAAUUCCCGGUGUAGAGGUGAAAUUCGUAGAUAUCGGGAGGAACACCAGUGGCGAAGGCGGCGAUCUGGGCUGAUACUGACGCUGAGGUGCGAAAGCGUGGGGAGCAAACAGG